AGAUUGUGCAGUCCAACCCUAGACACAGGGACAGGAACUGCAUUAGGGAUAAAAACCACUUCUCUCCUUUGUUCAGUGUGCUCUUGCAAUCGUAACUGAUGCAGGCAGCACCCUUCUGCAGAAGCAAAUUGCCUUGCUGAGAAAAAUUUUGCGGAAGGGUCUCAGAUCACCUCUUGUGGGGAGAUACAUCCAGCUGCCUCAUUGUGGUGGUCUCAGGGGUAAGGAAUCGAGACCCAACCAGCGUGACAAAUAAACAUGGAUCCUCAGCAACAUGGGAAGAAAAGGCCUACAGAUACCGGGGUGACCAGGUAACUCUAUGCACAGACCAAGAACAAGAAAUUUGGACACACAAAGAAAAGACACCAAGUGCACGAGUACCCAGAAGGACAACCAUGUGAAGAGGCAGUGAGAAGGUGCCACCUGCAAGCCCAGGAGAGAAGUUGCCACCUGCAAGCCCAGGAGAGAAGUUUUGGAAGAAACCACACCUGCUGACACCUUGGUCUCCAACUUCCAGUCCCAGAGUGAG
rnacentral:lncRNA from 1 species